rnacentral:lncRNA from 1 species
AGAGUGUUGGUUUUCAGAUUCUCUGCCCCCACUCGUCAACCUCUCAGUUCAGGACCUCCGGUCCAGAAACAAUCAGCUAUCUCAUUCAUCAAGCAACUCUACUUUGUGAAACAUAAAAUGAUACAAACAAAGUCAUUAUCAAAUGUAUUUAUUGCUGAAAACAUAACAUUUUUCAAGAAAGGCAAACUGGCUAAAAAGUCCUGAAAGUGUUCAAAAGUAGAUAAAAUAGCAGAAGACACCCACCAAGGAUACAAAACAAUUUUUAGUAGCGAUCCUGCAUUUAAUCAGUAUGUUCUUAAAUAAACUGCUUUAAAAAAAUUCUUCAAAUGACACUGCCAAAAAAAUUAGGACACCCAAACAGAUGCCAGAAAACCUGUAAGUGGGCUGGAUUUUAUGUGACCUGGUCAUUAAGCAUAGGGAUUCAUUUUGUGAGCUCAUGGCAAAUCAGUUUGAGGCCAGUUGACCUAGAACCGAUUUGGGAUGCAGGCACUUACCUCCCUGCACGUGCAAUAUGUGGGCAUGGGGACACCCAUGACCCCCAGGGGAAAGGAAUGCCCCUCCUGAACAUGACCUCCAAGAGUAAGGGCGAACUGUCAGCUUUUAACUGUUUAUUAUAAAGACAUAUUUACACAGAACAAUCUUUACAAACAUUGAACACAGGGGAAGGGAACAAUUUCUUAAUGAACAGGGCCUUAAUAUCUUUGUAUAAAUUAGUAUAA